rnacentral:rRNA from 1 species
GUCUAUGGCCAUGCUACCCUGAACACGCCCAAUCCCGUCUAAUCUCAGAAGCUAAGCAGGGUCGGGCCUGGUUAGUACUUGGAUGGGAGACCACCUAGGAGGACCAGGUGCUGUAGGUG